UCCCUGGUGGUCCAGUGGUUGGGAUUCUGUACUUUCACUGCUGAGGGUGUGGGUUCAAUCCCUGUUUGGGGAG
rfam:TPA: Bos taurus chromosome 5, whole genome shotgun sequence.